rnacentral:rRNA from 1 species
AUUGAACGCUGGCGGCAGGCCUAACACAUGCAAGUCGAACGGUAACAGGAAGCAGCUUGCUGCUUCGCUGACGAGUGGCGGACGGGUGAGUAAUGUCUGGGAAGCUGCCUGAUGGAGGGGGAUAACUACUGGAAACGGUAGCUAAUACCGCAUAAUGUCGCAAGACCAAAGAGGGGGACCUUCGGGCCUCUUGCCAUCGGAUGUGCCCAGAUGGGAUUAGCUUGUUGGUGGGGUAACGGCUCACCAAGGCGACGAUCCCUAGCUGGUCUGAGAGGAUGACCGCCCCCAGGGGAAGUGAAACGGGGCCCAGCCCCCUGGGGGAGGGCGCAGUGGGGAAUUUGACACAGGGGGCGGAAGUCUGAUACACCGAGCCGGGGUGUGGAAAGAAGGCGUCGGGGUUGUAAAGAUGUUCCGGGGGGGGAAAAGGGAAUAAAGUUAAUCCGUUGCCUCAUUGACGUUCCCCGGAAAAGAAGCACCGGCUAACCCCGUG